UACGAGAGGCCCAACCGUUAUUCGGAAUUACUGGGCUUAAAGAGUUCGUAGGCGGCAUGAAAAGUAGGGUGUGAAAGCCCUCGGCUCAACCGAGGAAUUGCGCUCUAAACUGUCGUGCUCGAGGAAUCUAGAGGUGAGCGGAACUGAUGGUGGAGCGGUGAAAUGCGUUGAUAUCAUCAGGAACACCGGAGGCGAAGGCGGCUCACUGGGGAUUUUCUGACGCUGAGGAAUGAAAGCCAGGGGAGCGAACGGG
rnacentral:rRNA from 1 species